rnacentral:rRNA from 1 species
AUGGAUGCACAUGAUUCUGUUGUUUUCCCCACUUUUGACCCACCUGACAUUCCUACUCACUUGGGUGGUGUUGGUCAUUGGGUUUCAAUAUUUCUUGACCUGAAGAAUUCAAGGUUCCAGCUUCUCAACUCCUACUAUGGACCAAACGAUGAUUGUGCGGUACGUCUGUUUCGGCGGAUGACUGAUAACAUCAAGAAGCUUUGGAACAAUGCCAACAACGACAGGGAGACACCCUUCAGUCCUCUUUCUAUUGACCAUUUCCCUUUGGAUUGGAUUGAUGUCCCCCAGCAAACCAACAAUAUCGACUGCGGAUUCUUCAUGCUUACGAAAGUUAAUUCGUUUCAUGAAGAGGUUCUUGCAAACUAUUCCCAUGAUAAUAUCGCAGAUAUCAGAAAGACGUGGUUGUACUCAAUUGCUUCUUCUAACCUAUUUGAAACAUACUUCCAAGGUCUGUUUGGCUACUAUACAUUGGACCCGUUGGACUUGACCGAUUACCACUACUCAUUCCUCGGGUCACAGGAAUACCAGCCUAGGGAGGAAUCGAUGAGUACAACUCUGAGAGAAGAUGAUAGCUCUUGA